GUCCCUUUAGGGACAUCCAAUAAAAUUGGAAUGAUACAGAGAAGAUUAUGGCCCCUGCACAAGGAUGACAUGCACAAAUUGAGAAACGGUCCAAAAAAAA
rfam:Cucumis melo, WGS project CAJI01000000 data, contig: 12829